rnacentral:misc_RNA from 1 species
AAGUCGUAACAAGGUUUCCGUAGGUGAACCUGCGGAAGGAUCAUUAACGCAUCUCCGACGGCGGAGGCGCGCCCGGCUCCGGACCGAAAGGCCGUGCAGCGGGGGCGCCCGAGUCGCUCGAACCUUUCAAACCCACCGUGCACUCUUGUCGGCGAGGGGCCCCCAGCGCCCCGAACCGGAUCGCAAACACCUUUUAAAACAGAAUGACCAGCGGACCUGUGUGCCGCCUAAACUUAAACAA